CGGAUUGGAGUCUGNAACCCGACUCCAUGAAGCUGGAUUCGCUAGUAAUCGCGCAUCAGCCACGGCGCGGUGAAUACGUUCCCGGGCCUUGUACACACCGCCCGUCAAGCCAUGGGAGCCGGGGGUACCUGAAGUGCGUGACCGCAAGGAGCGCCCUAAGGUAAAACCGGUGACUGGGGCUAAGUCGUAACAAGGUAAC
rnacentral:rRNA from 1 species